rnacentral:tRNA from 1 species
GUGGAUGUAGCUCAGCGGUAGAGUCCCAGAUUGUGGAUCUGGUUGUCGCGGGUUCGAGACCCGUCAUCCACC